rnacentral:rRNA from 1 species
GAUGAACGCUGGCGGCGUGCCUAAUACAUGCAAGUCGAGCGAACAGACGAGGAGCUUGCUCCUCUGACGUUAGCGGCGGACGGGUGAGUAACACGUGGAUAACCUACCUAUAAGACUGGGAUAACUUCGGGAAACCGGAGCUAAUACCGGAUAAUAUAUUGAACCGCAUGGUUCAAUAGUGACAGACGGUUUUGCUGUCACUUAUAGAUGGAUCCGCGCCGCAUUAGCUAGUUGGUAAGGUAACGGCUUACCAAGGCAACGAUGCGUAGCCGACCUGAGAGGGUGAUCGGCCACACUGGAACUGAGACACGGUCCAGACUCCUACGGGAGGCAGCAGUAGGGAAUCUUCCGCAAUGGGCGAAAGCCUGACGGAGCAACGCCGCGUGAGUGAUGAAGGUCUUCGGAUCGUAAAACUCUGUGAUUAGGGAAGAACAAAUGUGUAAGUAACUAUGCACGUCUUGACGGUACCUAAUCAGAAAGCCACGGCUAACUACGUG